rnacentral:rRNA from 1 species
CCUACGGGAGGCUGCAGUGAGGAAUAUUGGUCAAUGGGCGAGAGCCUGAACCAGCCAAGUCGCGUGAGGGAGUACUGCCCUAUGGGUUGUAAACCUCUUUUGUCGGGGAGCAAAAGCCGGACGUGUCCGGCUGUGAGAGUACCCGAAGAAAAAGCAUCGGCUAACUCCGUGCCAGCAGCCGCGGUAAUACGGAGGAUGCGAGCGUUAUCCGGAUUUAUUGGGUUUAAAGGGUGCGUAGGCGGAUCGUUAAGUCAGUGGUCAAAUUGAGGGGCUCAACCCCUUCCCGCCAUUGAAACUGGCGUUCUUGAGUGGAAGAGAAGUAUGCGGAAUGCGUGGUGUAGCGGUGAAAUGCAUAGAUAUCACGCAGAACCCCGAUUGCGAAGGCAGCAUGCCGGCUUCCGACUGACGCUGAAGCACGAAAGCGUGGGGAUCGAACAGGAUUAGAUACCCUUGUAGUC